CAAGGGACUUAAAGAAAAAUUGAGUGCACGGGCGGAAACGCCUGAUGUAGAACUGCUCAAAGUCGGGGAAACCUGUCAGAUGGCAAUCCCGAGCCAAGCCCCUCAGGGGAAGGUGUAGAGACUAGACGGGCAGCACCUAAGGCGGAAGCUAGGGUGAAGGUAUAGUCCAGACCACAAACGCCGGAAGGCGGCG
rnacentral:ncRNA from 1 species